rnacentral:rRNA from 1 species
GAUGAACGCUGGCGGCGUGCCUAAUACAUGCAAGUCGAGCGAACGGACGAGAAGCUUGCUUCUCUGAUGUUAGCGGCGGACGGGUGAGUAACACGUGGAUAACCUACCUAUAAGACUGGGAUAACUUCGGGAAACCGGAGCUAAUACCGGAUAAUAUUUUGAACCGCAUGGUUCAAAAGUGAAAGACGGUCUUGCUGUCACUUAUAGAUGGAUCCGCGCUGCAUUAGCUAGUUGGUAAGGUAACGGCUUACCAAGGCAACGAUGCAUAGCCGACCUGAGAGGGUGAUCGGCCACACUGGAACUGAGACACGGUCCAGACUCCUACGGGAGGCAGCAGUAGGGAAUCUUCCGCAAUGGGCGAAAGCCUGACGGAGCAACGCCGCGUGAGUGAUGAAGGUCUUCGGAUCGUAAAACUCUGUUAUUAGGGAAGAACAUAUGUGUAAGUAACUGUGCACAUCUUGACGGUACCUAAUCAGAAAGCCACGGCUAACUACGUGCCAGCAGCCGCGGUAAUACGUAGGUGGCAAGCGUUAUCCGGAAUUAUUGGGCGUAAAGCGCGCGUAGGCGGUUUUUUAAGUCUGAUGUGAAAGCCCACGGCUCAACCGUGGAGGGUCAUUGGAAACUGGAAAACUUGAGUGCCGAAGAGGAAAGUGGAAUUCCAUGUGUAGCGGUGAAAUGCGCAGAGAUAUGGAGGAACACCAGUGGCGAAGGCGACUUUCUGGUCUGUAACUGACGCUGAUGUGCGAAAGCGUGGGGAUCAAACAGGAUUAGAUACCCUGGUAGUCCACGCCGUAAACGAUGAGUGCUAAGUGUUAGGGGGUUUCCGCCCCUUAGUGCUGCAGCUAACGCAUUAAGCACUCCGCCUGGGGAGUACGACCGCAAGGUUGAAACUCAAAGGAAUUGACGGGGACCCGCACAAGCGGUGGAGCAUGUGGUUCAAUUCGAAGCAACGCGAAGAACCUUACCAAAUCUUGACAUCCUUUGACAACUCUAGAGAUAGAGCCUUCCCCUUCGGGGGGGCAAAGUGACAGGUGGUGCAUGGUUGUCGUCAGCUCGUGUCGUGAGAUGUUGGGUUAAGUCCCGCAACGAGCGCAACCCUUAAGCUUAGUUGCCAUCAUUAAGUUGGGCACUCUAAGUUGACUGCCGGUGACAAACCGGAGGAAGGUGGGGAUGACGUCAAAUCAUCAUGCCCCUUAUGAUUUGGGCUACACACGUGCUACAAUGGACAAUACAAAGGGCAGCGAAACCGCGAGGUCAAGCAAAUCCCAUAAAGUUGUUCUCAGUUCGGAUUGUAGUCUGCAACUCGACUACAUGAAGCUGGAAUCGCUAGUAAUCGUAGAUCAGCAUGCUACGGUGAAUACGUUCCCGGGUCU